CUUGGCUCCAUUUUGAGUGGGGCCAGAACCCUCCCAGCCUUCCUCCUCCUCCGGGUAAAUGAGGAGUUAAGCACCCCCACUCCCACCCCGGCACCAACACACACACACCCCCACACACCCUCCCUCCUCCUCCUCCACACACACACACACACCCACACCCACACACCCUCCCUCCUCCUCCUCCUCCACCCCCUCCUCUCCCUCCGCGCCUUCUUGUCCUAUGAGAGGAGGUGAACUCAGUGACUGCAAACUGCAAAACUAAUGGGUGGCGGCGGGGGCGGGCUUCGGCCAGGGAAGGGGUGGAGUACUCACAGCAGCUCCUGUUCUUUGAGCACGUUCAGCGGGCUAGGCUGUUCUGCACGGUCUCCGAAACGUUUAUUCUUCGCCCUGUAAGGAGAGCUCUGUUAUUAUCCCCAGGUAUCAGCAACAUGUGUGGGAACAAAGAGCCACAGUUGAUUCAAACGUGUUCCGUUGGUAUGUCGGGAAAGCCUUCACAGGAGCUGACGUCUGACCCAGGGGUGCCUGGGUGGCUCAGUCCUUAGGUGUCUGUCUGCCUUCGGCUCGGGUCAUGAUCCCAGGGUCCUGGGAUCAAGCCCUGCGCGCGAGCCCCGCAUCGAGCCCUGCAUCGGGGCUCCCUGCUCAGCGAGAAGCCUGCUUCUCCCUCUCCCACUCCCCCUGCUUGUGUUCCCUCUCUCGCUGUCCCUCUCUCUGUGUCAAAUCAAUAAAUAAAAUCUUUUUAAAAA